rnacentral:tRNA from 1 species
GCCGAGGUAGCUCAGUGGUAGAGCAUGCGCCUGAAGAGCGCAGUGUCGGUGGUUCGAUUCCACUUCUCGGCACCA